rnacentral:rRNA from 1 species
UACGUAGGGUCCGAGCGUUGUCCGGAAUUACUGGGCGUAAAGAGCUCGUAGGUGGUUUGUCGCGUUGUUCGUGAAAACUCACAGCUCAACUGUGGGCGUGCGGGCGAUACGGGCAGACUAGAGUACUGCAGGGGAGACUGGAAUUCCUGGUGUAGCGGUGGAAUGCGCAGAUAUCAGGAGGAACACCGGUGACGAAGGCGGGUCUCUGGGCAGUAACUGACGCUGAGGAGCGAAAGCGUGGGGAGCGAACAGG